CUACGGGGGGCUGCAGUGGGGAAUAUUGCACAAUGGGGGGAACCCUGACGCAGCGACGCCGCGUGAGUGAGGAAGGCCCUCGGGUCGUAAAGCUCUGUCAAGAGGAAAGAAGUGCAUAGUAGUUAAUACCUGCUAUGUUUGACGGUACCUCUAAAGGAAGCACCGGCUAACUCCGUGCCAGCAGCCGCGGUAAUACGGAGGGUGCAAGCGUUGUUCGGAAUCACUGGGCGUAAAGGGCGCGCAGGCGGCCUGGUAAGUCAGAUGUGAAAGCCCACGGCUUAACCGUGGAAGUGCAUUUGAAACUGUCAGGCUUGAGUACCAGAGGGGAAAGUGGAAUUCCCGGUGUAGAGGUGACAUUCGUAGAUAUCGGGAGGAAUACCGGUGGCGAAGGCGACUUUCUGGCUGAGUACUGACGCUGAGGCGCGAAAGCGUGGGGAGCAAACAGGAUUAGAUACCCUAGUAGUC
rnacentral:rRNA from 1 species